CGUCGCUCUGCGCAUUCUAUUUGCGCAUACUGAUUGUUGUUGUUUGCCAGCUGACAUCUACAGAAAAGUAAGGCAGUUGAAAGUGUAUCUCAGGACUAUAGAAGGUUGUGAACUGCCAGUAUUACAGUACAAGUACUGAACUGAACCACAGGUCCGGAGCAGGAUGUCUACUCCCUUUAGCAGGCCACAGGGUUAAAAUCUUAAGUUUGAUUGAAACGGACACUUAUAAAGACAAUAAAGCUUCCACAGUAUAGAACCUUAGGAAAUUCGCUGUAAGUUAUGGAGAAUGAAGGCGAGACUGCACAAAAUGGGCCUGGAUCACCAACCAGUGACUCAGAGUUACCAGUCUUUAAUGGUCGCAAAGAACGUGUUAUACUUAGCAGCAUGAGUAUUUCAGUUAUGUAAUGGUCACUGGCGGUGGGCAGUUAACCUAACCGGUGUUCCUGGAUUCUGUAAUAGUACAAACCGCAAGUAACUGCCAACUUCUCCAUAUGUAACAGAGGUGGAGGACGAUUAAUACCAGACACAAUGUCUUUUAUCAAAUUGUCAUGGAGAACAUACGCCCCGCCCGGGGAUUGAACUCACAACCCCGUGAUCCUUAG